rnacentral:rRNA from 1 species
UAAGGUAGCAUAAUCAUUUGUCUUCUAAAUAAAGUCUAGAACAAAAGAUUUAACAUUUUAAUAUAUAUAUAUUAAUAAUUUAAUUUAAAUUAUUUUAAAAGUAAAAAAACUUUUAUAAUUAAGAAAGACGACAAGACCCUAUUGAACUUAACUACUGUUAAGCUGGGGCAGCUACCAAAUUAACAUUUUUAAAUAUAAAAUUAUACAAUAAUAGAUCUAAUACAAUUAAUUAUAUAAUCAAGUUACCAUAGGGAUAACAGCGUAAUAAACUUUUCAAGAUCUUAUAAAAAUAUAAGCUUACGACCUC